rnacentral:rRNA from 1 species
UACAGAGGUCUCAAGCGUUGUUCGGAUUCAUUGGGCGUAAAGGGUGCGUAGGCGGCGCGGUAAGUCGGGUGUGAAAUUUCGAGGCUUAACUUCGAAACUGCAUUCGAUACUGCCGUGCUAGAGGACUGGAGAGGAGACUGGAAUUUACGGUGUAGCGGUGAAAUGCGUAGAUAUCGUAAGGAAGACCAGUGGCGAAGGCGGGUCUCUGGACAGUUCCUGACGCUGGGAGACGAAGGCCAGGGGGAGCAAACGGG